UAUCCCCAAAAGGAGCGUUAUAAUGCCGCUGGUGCAUUUCAUAAUCUCAAGGUCCAGCUCUUACUGCAAAUAUUAUGGAUUAACACAAAGAUAUACCAUACAAAACAAUAAGAAAAACUUUUUUAAGGUCAAAGCCAAAACCCAGGUUAUGGAUUCACUAGUAAAGCUGUAUCUUAAGAAUAAAAACUAUAAUAAAAUAUAAUAUUUAUAUCCCCAAAAGGAAUGUUAUAACGCCGCUGGUGCAUUUCAUAAUCUUAAAGUCCAGCUCUUGCUGCAAAUAUCAAGGAUUAACACAAAGAUAUGUCAUACACAACAACAAGAAAAACUAUUGUUAAGGUCAAAGCCAAAAUCCCUGUUAUGCAUUCACUAAUAAAGCUGUAUCUUAAGAAUAAAAACUAUAAUAAAUGAUGAUAUUAAUAUCCCCAAAAGGUAUAACAUUUUAUUUAAAAAUAUUAUUAAAAUAUUAUGUUGUGAUAGGAGUGUUUUGACGCGGGCUGCUACAUUCCAUAAUCCUUCAUUUGUGAAUCUUCCAAUGAAUCAUGGUGCUGUCAUUUUAGAUUCUGAACGGAGCGACGAUAGUAUUGGUUUUACAAUGAAAUGUUUUUUUUUUUUUAUUUUCAUUUUUUGUGUAUACACAAUUAGUAGUCGAUGCAAUGCUUUGAUUUUCAACUUUAAUAUCUUGAGUAUUGUAGGUUAUAUUAUAAAACAUAAAGUAAUACUGUUGCCAUGUCCUAAAUUCUUGUACGCCUAAUCCAGGUAAUAUUAGGUAUAUAUAACUCGGAGAUCAAUAGUCACUUUAAUCCAAAAUUUUAACUUAAUACUUUGAUUCUUUCCAAAAAUGUGUAAUUAACUAACGUCAAAUAAAUUACCUACGGUACUUU